rnacentral:rRNA from 1 species
AGCGAACGCUGGCGGCAGGCCUAACACAUGCAAGUCGAACGAACCUUUCGGGGUUAGUGGCGGACGGGUGGGUAACACGUGGGAACGUGCCUUUAGGUUCGGAAUAACUCAGGGAAACUUGUGCUAAUACCGAAUGUGCUCUUCGGGGGAAAGAUUUAUCGCCUUUAGAGCGGCCCGCGUCUGAUUAGCUAGUUGGUUGAGGUAAUGGCCCACCAAGGCGACGAUCAGUAGCUGGUCAGAGAGGAUGAGCAGCCACAUUGGGACUGAGACACGGCCCAAACUCCUACGGGAGGCGGCAGUGGGGAAUCUUGCGCAAUGGGCGAAAUCCUGACGCAGCCAUGCCGCGUGAAUGAUGAAGGUCUGAGGAUUGUAAAGUUCUUUCACCGGUGACGAUAAUGACGGUACCCGGAGAAGAAGCCCCGGCUAACUUCGUG